rnacentral:rRNA from 1 species
CACGAACGCUGGCGGCAUGCCUAACACAUGCAAGUCGAACGAAACCUUCGUGUCUAUUGGCGCACGGGUGCUUAACGCCUGGUAACCUACCCGUAGGUUCGGAAUAACUCCCCGAAGGGUGUCCUAAUACCGCAUGGUGUCUUCCGACCAAAGAUGUAUCGCCUUUGGAUGGGCCCGCGUUGGCUUAGCCAGUUGGUAGGGUAAAAGCAUACCAAGGCGAGGAUGCAUAGCUGGUCUGAGAGGAUGCCAAGCCACACUGGGACUGAGACACGGACCAGUCUCCUACGGGAGGCAGCGGUGGGGAACAUUAGGGAAUGGGCGAUAGCCUGGUCCAGCAAUGCGGGGUGUGUGAGGAAGGCGGUAGGAUUGCAAAUCUCUUUUACCCGGGAUGAGAAUGACAGUAACGGGAGAAUAAGCUCCGGCUAACUCCGUG